UACGGAGGGUCCAAGCGUUAUCCGGAUUCAUUGGGUUUAAAGGGUCCGCAGGCGGGAAAAUAAGUCAGUGGUGAAAGCCUACAGCUCAACUGUAGAACUGCCAUUGAUACUGUUUUUCUUGAGUAUAGAUGAAGUGGGCGGAAUAUAUCAUGUAGCGGUGAAAUGCAUAGAUAUGAUAUAGAACACCGAUUGCGAAGGCAGCUCACUAAACUAUUACUGACGCUCAGGGACGAAAGCGUGGGGAGCGAACAGGAUUAGAAACCCUAGUAGUCC
rnacentral:rRNA from 1 species